rnacentral:RNase_P_RNA from 1 species
UAAGUAAGAUCCCCGCUUUCGUGGGGAUUUGGAGGAAAGUCCGAACACCGUAGUGCAAUAUAGUGGUUAAUGGCCACCAGCCGAAAGGCUAGGACAAGUGCAACAGAAAGUAUGUACAGGUAAUGCUGUAGUGAAACCAGGUAAACUCUAUGUGGUGCAAUGCUAUGUAAACCAGCGCUUGAAGGCGGCACGCUUGAUGCUGGAGGGUAAGCAGCUAAAGUGUAUUGGCAACAAUGCACUCAGAUAAAUGAUAAGGGCUUUUUUUAGGAAAAGUACAGAAUUCGGCUUAUAGAUUUACUUUUUAA